rnacentral:rRNA from 1 species
UUAGUUAAGUGAAUAAGGGCGCACGGUGGAUGCCUUGGCACUAGGAGCCGAUGAAGGACGGGACUAACACCGAUAUGCUUCGGGGAGUUGUAAGUAAACUUUGAUCCGAAGAUUUCCGAAUGGGGGAACCCGCUGUUCGUAAUGGAACAGUACUUGUAUCUGAAUACAUAGGGUACAAGAGGCAGACCCGGGGAACUGAAACAUCUCAUUACCCGGAGGAAGAGAAAGCAAAUGCGAUUUCCUAAGUAGCGGCGAGCGAAACGGAAACAGCCCAAACCAGAAAGUUUACUUUCUGGGGUUGUAGGACAUUCCAUUAGGAGUUACAAAGGAAUUCUUUAGACGAAUCGACCUGGAAAGGUCAGCCAAAGAGGGUAACAGCCCUGUAGUCGAAAAGGAAUUCUCUCCGGAAUGUAUCCUGAGUACGGCGGAACACGAGAAAUUCCGUCGGAAUCCGGGAGGACCAUCUCCCAAGGCUAAAUACUACCUAGUGACCGAUAGUGAACCAGUACCGUGAGGGAAAGGUGAAAAGCACCCCGGGAGGGGAGUGAAAGAGUACCUGAAACCGUGUGCCUACAAGUAGUCGAAGCUCGUUUUUGAGUGACGGCGUACCUUUUGUAGAAUGGACCGGCGAGUUACGAUUGUAUGCAAGGUUAAGUGGAAGACACGGAGCCGCAGCGAAAGCGAGUCUGAAUAGGGCGAAUGAGUAUGCAGUCGUAGACCCGAAACCGUGUGAUCUACCCAUGUCCAGGGUGAAGGUCAGGUAACACUGACUGGAGGCCCGAACCCACGUAUGUUGAAAAAUGCGGGGAUGAGGUGUGGGUAGGGGUGAAAUGCCAAUCGAACACGGAGAUAGCUGGUUCUCUCCGAAAUAGCUUUAGGGCUAGCCUCAAGAUGAUGAGUACUGGAGGUAGAGCACUGAUUGGACUAGGGGCCCUCAUCGGGUUACCGAAUUCAGUCAAACUCCGAAUGCCAGAUACUUUAACUUGGGAGUCAGACUGUGGGUGAUAAGGUUCAUAGUCGAAAGGGAAACAGCCCAGACCACCAGCUAAGGUCCCAAAGUAUACGUUAAGUGGAAAAGGAUGUGGAGUUGCCCAGACAACCAGGAUGUUGGCUUAGAAGCAGCCACCAUUUAAAGAGUGCGUAAUAGCUCACUGGUCGAGUGACUCUGCGCCGAAAAUGUACCGGGGCUAAACGUAUCACCGAAGCUGUGGAUUGUUCUUCGAACAAUGGUAGGAGAGCGUUCUAAGUGCUGUGAAGUCAGACCGUGAGGACUGGUGGAGCGCUUAGAAGUGAGAAUGCCGGUAUGAGUAGCGAAAAAAGAGUGAGAAUCUCUUUCACCGAAUGCCUAAGGUUUCCUGAGGAAGGCUCGUCCUCUCAGGGUUAGUCGGGACCUAAGCCGAGGCCGAAAGGCGUAGGCGAUGGACAACAGGCAGAUAUUCCUGUACCACCUCAUGACCAUUUGAGCGAUGGGGGGACGCAGUAGGAUAAGGAAAGCGCACCGAUGGAUGUGUGCGUCCAAGCAGUGAGAAAGUCAGGUAGGCAAAUCCGCCUGGCAAUUUCAAGCUGUGA